rnacentral:rRNA from 1 species
GAUGAACGCUGGCGGCGUGCUUAACACAUGCAAGUCGAACGAUGAAGCCCAGCUUGCUGGGUGGAUUAGUGGCGAACGGGUGGGUAACACGUGAGUAACCUGCCCUUAACUCUGGGAUAAGCCUGGGAAACUGGGUCUAAUACCGGAUAGGAGCGUCCACCGCAUGGUGGGUGUUGGAAAGAUUUAUCGGUUUUGGAUGGACUCGCGGCCUAUCAGCUUGUUGGUGAGGUAAUGGCUCACCAAGGCGACGACGGGUAGCCGGCCUGAGAGGGUGACCGGCCACACUGGGACUGAGACACGGCCCAGACUCCUACGGGAGGCAGCAGUGGGGAAUAUUGCACAAUGGGCGCAAGCCUGAUGCAGCGACGCCGCGUGAGGGAUGACGGCCUUCGGGUUGUAAACCUCUUUCAGUAGGGAAGAAGCGAAAGUGACGGUACCUGCAGAAGAAGCACCGGCUAACUACGUG